AUCAGCGGCGGACGGGUGAGUAACACGUGGGUAACCUGCCUGUAAGACUGGGAUAACUCCGGGAAACCGGGGCUAAUACCGGAUAACUCAGUUCCUCGCAUGAGGAACGGUUGAAAGGUGGCUUUUUGCUACCACUUACAGAUGGACCCGCGGCGCAUUAGCUAGUUGGUGAGGUAACGGCUCACCAAGGCGACGAUGCGUAGCCGACCUGAGAGGGUGAUCGGCCACACUGGGACUGAGACACGGCCCAGACUCCUACGGGAGGCAGCAGUAGGGAAUCUUCCGCAAUGGACGAAAGUCUGACGGAGCAACGCCGCGUGAGUGAAGAAGGUUUUCGGAUCGUAAAACUCUGUUGUUAGGGAAGAACAAGUGCCGUUCAAAUAGGGCGGCACCUUGACGGUACCUAACCAGAAAGCCACGGCUAACUACG
rnacentral:rRNA from 1 species